CCUACGGGAGGCAGCAGUGGGGAAUAUUGGACAAUGGGGGGAACCCUGAUCCAGCCAUGCCGCGUGUGUGAAGAAGGCCCUCGGGUUGUAAAGCACUUUCAGUGAGGAAGAACGCCUGGUGGUUAAUACCCAUCAGGAAAGACAUCACUCACAGAAGAAGCACCGGCUAACUCCGUGCCAGCAGCCGCGGUAAUACGGAGGGUGCGAGCGUUAAUCGGAAUUACUGGGCGUAAAGCGCGCGUAGGUGGCUUGAUAAGCCGGUUGUGAAAGCCCCGGGCUCAACCUGGGAACGGCAUCCGGAACUGUCAAGCUAGAGUGCGGGAGAGGAAGGUAGAAUUCCCGGUGUAGCGGUGAAAUGCGUAGAGAUCGGGAGGAAUACCAGUGGCGAAGGCGGCCUUCUGGACUGACACUGACACUGAGGUGCGAAAGCGUGGGUAGCAAACAGGAUUAGAUACCCUAGUAGUC
rnacentral:rRNA from 1 species